GAUGAACGCUAACGGCAGGCUUAAUACAUGCAAGUCGAGGGGGAUUAUUUUUGUAGCAAUACAGAGAUAUGAGACCGGCAAACGGGUGCGGAACACGUACGCAACCUUCCCAAAACUGGUGAAUAGCCCUCCGAAAGGAGGAUUAAUACACCGUAACAUAAUGAAGUGGCAUCACUUUAUUAUUAUAGCUCCGGCGGUUUUGGAUGGGCGUGCGCCUGAUUAGGUAGUUGGCGGGGUAACGGCCCACCAAGCCUGCGAUCAGUAACUGGUGUGAGAGCACGACCAGUCACACGGGCACUGAGACACGGGCCCGACUCCUACGGGAGGCAGCAGUAAGGAAUAUUGGUCAAUGGACGAAAGUCUGAACCAGCCAUGCCGCGUGAAGGAUGAAGGCCCUCUGGGUUGUAAACUUCUUUUAUCUGGGACGAAAAAAGGCGAUUCUUCGUCACUUGACGGUACCAGAGGAAUAAGCACCGGCUAACUCCGUGCCAGCAGCCGCGGUAAGAC
rnacentral:rRNA from 1 species